UACGUAGGUGGCAAGCGUUGUCCGGAAUACUGGGCGUAAAGCGUGCGCAGGCGGUGAUGUAAGACCGAUGUGAAAUCCCCCGGGCUUAACCUGGGAACUGCAUUGGUGACUGCAUUUGCUGGAGUAUGGCAGAGGGGGGGUGGAAUUCCACGUGUAGCAGUGAAAUGCGUAGAGAUGUGGAGGAACACCGAUGGCGAAGGCAGCCCCCUGGGCCAAUACUGACGCUCAUGCACGAAAGCGUGGGGGAGCAAACAGGAUUAGAAAACCCC
rnacentral:rRNA from 1 species